AAGGCAUGGUACCUCUUCUGUCAGCUCGCAUUAACACAGAACCUGUUGCAGUGCUCCAAAGUUAGCUCCCUGCAUCCCCUUUUGUAGCUUUUCGAUGAUUCCACACGGCGAUUUAUUUGAUGCGGAUACAGACUAAUGCUUUCAAAUGUAAGCAAAUGUACAAUGGUUUCAAAGUGCACAAUGGUGGGCGUAGCGGUCCUUCUCGUGUGAUGGUGGAAUGCAGAUGCGCAAACCUCCGUUAUGAAUGGUGAGGGCACAAAAAAAAUUUCUCCAUCCUGCCUCAUUGCCAGAGACACGAGCAAGCACACAACUUUCACCAAAUGUUCCCUCGACACUUGCACGUCUCACGCACCACGUCAAGCGCCCAUCCACGGCCACUGCCUCAUCCACGGCCCGGGCACCGCAGUGGAAGGAAGACAAGACUAGGUGGGAUAGUGCAGAUCUACUUCACCUUUGCAUAGAGUGAGAGUCUUGAAAGUUGUCAGCAGGCGCGUCGAGGACAGAGAAAUGUUGAAGAACAGACAAAUUAAGGACUGGGAAGAGAUGACUGCGUGAGAUAGAAUAUAAACAAAAGACUGAAAAUAAAUAUCAUACAAAAUAUUAAUUCUGACAUUCGUUCCUAGUUCGGUUAAGUGAAGGAAAACGUUUGAAUUCGUGCCAGUGGUCGUAAUCUAAACAAAAUCCAGUUAAAAAAAGAAGAUAAGCAGAAAAGAUUAACAAACUAAGUUACCAGAUGACCGCAGCAAAGAGAGCAAGAACGUGGAUUAGUACAUAGACAAUAAUUUUAAGAAAGUGGAUGGAUAAAAAAAUAGAUUAUCAUGACAGAUCACAACCCUUAAGAGCGCAGGGAGAUGCCUAAUGUAAGCCGACAGAUUAUUUUUAAGUCUACUUUCAUAUACACACACACACACACACACACACACACACAUCAUUGCUCCAUAAUGUCCUUUUCUUCCCACAGGUAACAACAGAACUUCCUCCCAUGUCGCCGUCCCUUCAUCCACCAGUGCUAUUGUUACUUGCCUUCCUAUCGCUCCAUCCCUCAUAUCCUUUUCCACCCAAGAUCGUGAGUUGAAACCGAGAUUACAUAAGUGAAGAGGAUAUGAUGAAAGAGAGAUACGAGACGUCACGGAUUGUAUGAGGCACGUGCAAGUGGUAGUGGUGGUGGUGGUCAUAGGUGACAAGGGAGAGAGAUAAGGGAAGGCAUGAGGAGAUUAAAGAACCUGCCAGUGUUACCUUGUGGGGAAAAAGUAACCUUGGAAAAAUGAGUGCGUGGUUGGUGGCGCGUAAUGCAUAUCCUGUGUCAGUGUGUGUGUGUGUGUGUGUGUGUGUGUGUGUGUGUGUGUGUGUAAAAUAGAGAUAUUCUUUUUUACCACGAUUUUCUUUAUACGUAUGUUUUCAUUUUUUUUAUUGAUUCAGUCUAGUCAAACAUUCAAAGAUGAUUUAUAGUAAAAUGUAUACAUGUAGUUUUAAUCAAUGCACUGCUAACAAAUACACUCUUGAAAAUCUA